AGUCCGCCGUCCGCGGGGAGGCAGCCCAGGCGCGCACGACCCCCUCGAACACACCCCGGCCCCGCGCACCUGCUCCUCAUCGUGUCCGGAUGCGCAGGCGCCUGGGACCAGCGGAACAAGCCGGGGAGGGCUUGUUCGGCCACAAAGUUGGUUGCCGGGGUGGGGAGAAUGUGCUGGAUUACCCACCCACGAGCCAGGAGUCGGGGUGGGAGGAAUCAGCCUUCCUCCAGGACGGCGCAGCCCACCGGGCGCCUGCUAAGUGCCCAGCACUGACCUCACCUUUAGAAAAGAAAUCUACCUAUGCCACGAUGCGGAGUGAGUGCCGCUCCGCAAAAGCCAGUGCUUUAGAACUGCAGGGCCUGGUUCAAAUCUAGCUAGGUUGCUUACUGUUAUGUAAUUCUUUCCUUCUUUCUCUUUUUUCUUUUUCUUCUUUUUCUUUUUUUUUUUUUUUUUUUUUUUUUUUUGAGACAGAGUCUCGCUCUGUUGCCAGGCUGGAGUGCAGUGGCGUGAUCUCGGCUCACUGCAACCUCCGCCUCCCGGGUUCAAGCUAUUCUCCUGCCUCAGCCUCCCAAGUAGCUGAAACUACAGGCGCACACCACCACGCCUGGCUAAUUUUUGUAUUUUUAGUAGAGACGGGGUUUCGCCAUAUUGGCCAGGCUGGUCUUGAACUCCUGACCUCGUGAUCCACCCUCCUCGGCCUCCCAAAGUGCUGGGAUUACAGGCGUGAGCCACUGCGCCCGACCUGUAAUUUUUCUUUUCUGUUUUUUAGAGACAGGGUCUCGCUCUGUCACCCAGGCUAGAGUUCAGUGGCGCUGUCGGCUCACUGCAGCCUCCAACUCCUGGGCUCAAGUGCUGCUGCCAUCUCAGCCUCCUCAGUAGCUGGGACUACAGGUACACGCCACCACGCCCAACAGUGACAGGUUGGACACUACUGUACUGCCACGCUGGGUCGGGUGAGUGCCUCUCUCCUUCCCAUCUGUGGCCAAAAGGGGAGAGAUCUGAGAGGGAGGCUUCUGAGCCCCUGGCAGCUCCAGAGCCUGGCUCCGCCUCGGCGGCGCACACCUGCAGCACGUGAACUCCUCCAUAGGUCCCCACUUGGCUGCCUCUAGACUCAAGUCUCCUCACCUGGGUUAUUACUAACCCCUGCCCCUGAUUUCCAGAUCCCCACUCCAGGCAUCCACCCGAACACCAGAACCUGAGGAUUUUCUAAACUAUGAAUCUGACUGCUUAUCUCUUUCCUGUUUAAACCCUCCUACCGGCCUGGCGCGGUGGCUCACACCUGUAAUCCCAGGACUUUGGGAGGCCGAGGCAGGAGGAUCACUUGAGGUCAGGAGUUCGAGACCAGCUUGGCCAGCCUGGUGAAACCCCAUCUCUACUAAAAAUACAAAAAUUAGCCGGG
rnacentral:lncRNA from 1 species